GUAGGUGGCAAGCGUUGUCCGGAAUUAUUGGGCGUAAAGCGCGCGCAGGCGGUUCUUUAAGUCUGAUGUGAAAGCCCACGGGCUCAACCGUGGAGGGUCAUUGGAAACUGGAGAACUUGAGUACAGAAGAGGAGAGCGGAAUUCCACGUGUAGCGGUGAAAUGCGUAGAGAUGUGGAGGAACACCAGUGGCGAAGGCGGCUUUCUGGUCUGUAACUGACGCUGAGGCGCGAAAGCGUGGGGAGCAAACAGGAUUAGAUACCCUGGUAGUCCACGCCGUAAACGAUGAGUGCUAAGUGUUAGGGGGUUUCCGCCCCUUAGUGCUGCAGCUAACGCAUUAAGCACUCCGCCUGGGGAGUACGGCCGCAAGGCUG
rnacentral:rRNA from 1 species